GAGAGAGAGAGAGAAACCUAUGUGGGACGUGCCGCUUAGAGAAGUUAGAGAGAUAUUCUAUUUUAGAGAGAGAAGAGAGAGUAACUAAGAGGUGUAGAGACAAGAGAGGAGAAUACUAUUUUAUAGAUUUUUCAUGCAUUAGGGCUUAUCAUAAAAUCGUAGGAGCAAAUCUUGACCAUCAAUCUAAAAAGACUUGUGGGGUGAGAGAUGUGAGUCAUCCAUUCCCUAGAUCCACUAUCAAGAUGCUAAGGAAUGUGCUAAAACAUUAUCCCCCACUUCCUAAACUUAUUCCCAUCAAAUAAAUUAAAUAAGAAAAAUAUUUCUUUACUUUCUCCAAUAGUAAAUAUUCAUUCUUUAUUUCUCAAUCAAACCUUCUUGGUUCUCAAGAUUUUCUAAAACCACAUAUUUCAUUCCUUUAUUGUAAGUAGGCUUCUCUCCACAAAAAGAAAGCAAACUAAUAUGAGAUGCCUCUCACAUUAUUUACCAAGAAAAUGCAAUCCCCUAUGGGUGCGGUGUGCCACCCUUUGGUGGCCACUCAUGGGCCCCACCCACUUGUCCCAUGUGAUUUAAAUGAGGCCUCCAAUAAUUAUGGAGGGUCUCACAAAUUUUAUAAACAAUAAAAAUUGAUUUUUAGAUUUUUUUUAAACCUCUUAGUUUAUUUAAAACUUUAGAAAUGAAUUUCGCAUGAUUUAUAAAUCCAAAUGACAAAAUUAAAAUAUCAAAAAAUUUAUAAAAAUUCAAACAAACAUUCUAAAAAUCAAAUAACAUAAAAUUAACUAAAUUAAAUUAAUUUUCAUGAGAAUCAGAUUCGAAUAGAUCUAGGAUUUAAUAAACGCAUAGAAGCAAUCCACCUUCAACUGUGGACCACGAUCCACACUAGCUUUCUCAAAUUGACCCAGCAAUUCCCAUAACCCAGAGUCCACUGCAGGGGCUCAUGAUUGGACUGUCAAAGUCAAUCAAUGGAUUAGGGGAUGUAAUCUUAGUCUGUGUAUUUCAAGUUCUCUCCUAGAGAUAAACCAUGAUCCGCCAGAUGCAACCAUGACUUUACGGUGCAUAAGGGUAAUCUCUCGUACAUGUACAUGCUUCACCCUCAAUGGUGGAUUACUAUCUCCGUACGGCUAACUAUGUACAUGUCGUGUGAUGAUACAAUGAUGAUGUUUUAGUCAUGUCUCUAUAUGCUAUUCACCGCACACAAGGGUCACAUAGUCUCUCAGCUCUCAUCUAGGCAUGCUCCGACCUCAUCAAUGGUUAACCUACUAAACCCUCAUCGGUUUCAUCUCUAUGCUCAGGUACGUUGGGUUUUCCAACUCGGCUGGCCUAGCACGUCAAGCCUAGUCUGAGUAUCUUGCAUAGUAUAGUCCACAAGAGGACCACACUCCCAUUAAGUGUUUGAUUCAUUUAUUCAAAUGUUUAUACAAUCUCUCUUAAGGCCUUUAAAGGUCAUAUAAACCCAACAGUUGAUGUCAUAAACCAAAUUGGUGCGAAGAAUGUUUUGCAAGUUAUCACCGAUAACGAUUUGGCUUGUAUAGGAAUCGGGCUUGGGUCAAGGGGCGGCAAUAGUUGGGUUUUCAUAUAACUACGUUUCAAGUUCCAUUCCUAUGUAACAUUAUCAAAAAAAAAAAAACAAAGCUAAUGAUUGGCUUGUAAAAUUGUAGGAUUGGGACUGGUGAAAGUCCAUCCUCAUAUUUUCUGGACCCCUUAUGUGGUGCACAGUUUGAAAUAUGCAUUAGAAAGGAUAUGUUGCACUUCCAGUGGGGAAGUAAAAUCACCUAAUAGUAAACUGUGGAAAUUGAGCAAGACAUGAAGAUUAAUUAGGGGUUCUGCACUGGAAAAUCCAAAUGGAUGCAUAAUGUACAACAGGUACCCUGUACUGAGCCUUUUAAGAGUUCUUGAAACUGGAUUUGCAGCAACGACUAUGAUGGCAAAGCGAUUUAAGUUGGUUCAGGAUGUACUAUGUCCUAUGGUGAUUGACCCGAAUUGGGAGUCUUAUGUGGAGGACAAAUUGGAAAUUACUCAAAUCACAAGGACAGGAUAAUGGAUGAUUCUUGAUGGGUUAGGAUUGAUUAUCUUACCGAUUUCAGUUCACCUAUCUUCACUAUGUUAAUGGAGAUGAACUGGUUCUUCAUCAAGUCUAAGGCUGAAAUAAUUGAAAACGUGAAGAUGGCUACAUUUGAACAUGAGAAGAAGGGCCCAUUUCUCGAUAAACCGAACUUUUUCAAUGUGGUGAAGGAAAUCCUUGAAGAGAAAUGGGAAAUGCCUAUUCAUUGAAUUCUAAAUACUAUGGAUACAAAUGGCUCAAGGAAGAAGGCAAAUGCAUGGAAAAGAUAGCACCUCAUCAAGAUGCCAAUGUAUUAGUGAAUAGGAUUGCAUGCUUAAAGAGGCUAUUUCCUGAUCUUGAAAAGCUUCUUGAGGUUCAUGGACAGUUUGGCAUGCUGGCUAGUGGAUAGAGAACUUUUAACUCAUACCGACUGAUCGAGAUAAUGAUGAGCCCAUUCACUGGUGGGCAAAGCAUGGAUACUCUAUGCCCCUGCUCCAAUCUUUGGCAUUCAGAUUUCUCUCUCACCAAGCUUUUUCAUCUUGUUGUGAGAGAAGCUGGUAUAACUACUCACUCAUCUGUGAGCUCGUGAGUAAUGGACCCAAAAGGUGAUGGAAGGAAGACUUGAUAUUUGUCCAUACAACCAAACAUUUGAUGUUGAGGCGGAGGGAGGAAUACAUGUAUGCACAUUUUUGGAUGAUUUUUUUUAAAAUUUAAAUAAUUUGGCAUGGGGAAGUAUAGUAUAAUGCAACAAGCCACUGGAAAACCAUUGCCAGUGGGUCAUUACUGUCCAAUGAAAUGAUGGAUGGUCAUGAAUAGAGAGUGGGGCUCACUAGAUUAAGACAUGGCCACAAUGGUGUUCCUACUCUUUGUACACCAUUAGUUUUUUAGGGAGUGGUGAUCCAAUGGACCCGGAGCUGGAUUAGGAUUGAGAGUAGGGGAUCUUGACAUGCUGGUAUAUCCCUAGGGUUCAGAGUGCCUCCCUACAAUGCAUAUAUUUUUGAAAGAAAGACUUAUGUGAUCUUUUACUGAGGAAUAUAUAUAUUUUUUUUUUCUUCACCCCUUUUUUUUGGCAAAAGAUCACUUACAUGUGGUAUUUAUUAUAUAAUAAGAUAAAUUUCAAAAUAAAAUCAACAUAACAAUAAAACCAAGAUCUUAACAACUUGAUGUCAUUGAAACAACUAUGCACUAUGCUUGAGAAUAAAAGAUAAGAUUGCAAGAAAAAAAAGCAAGGGUGCCGAAGAUUACCUCAACUGGACUUAUUACAGCCCACACCGAGUCACCACCAUCUGAUGGCGCGAUAUCAACGGUCUAGCUUCAAUCUCGAACCAGGAAACCAAAUUUUUGCCAAGUCACAUCAAUGGAAUAUGAACCCUUUUGAUCACAAACUCAAACCCUAGUUGAAUUCUCUUAGCAACCUAGUUUGAGAGAGAUGGAUUCUCUUUUUGCUAAACCCUAAAACUCUUAGCCAUAUUUGAGAGAUAGGAGAGAGAAUAACUCCAUAACCUAAACCCUUAGGUUCUUUCACAAUAUGGUAGAGAGAGAUCAAACUUGAGAGAGAUAAACUUUCUUAAGAGAGAGAUAUAAAGAUACUGUGUAGAGAUUUUGGGUAGAGACAAUCUCUUGUUUAUAGGCUUGAACAAGAUUAGGGUUUCUUAAGGUUUUCCUUAGCUUAUCUCUUAUUGUGAGAUUGAACAUAAACCGUCGAUCAAGGAUGACUUGUGGGGUGAGAGAUCUGAGUCAUCCAUUUCAUAGAUAGGCCAUCAACAUUAUGGAAGGUGUAUGGACUAUUAUCUCCCUUUCCUUAACCAUUUUCCCAUCAAUAGAAAUUAGAUAAAUUAAUUAAAAUAUUAUGCAUUCCAUAAUCUUUCACAAAAUAUUCCAAAGAUAUAUUAAGUCAAUAUACACUUUCAAUAUUUGGUCAAUAUAUGGUCAAAAUAUUUCAUAUAUUAUUUUAUCACAUGCCAUAACAUAAUAUUACCAAAACAUAAAAUAACUUAAAUUUCAAUAAAGAAUACAAUAGGUGGAGCGUGCUACCCAUGUGUGGCACAUGUGGGCGCCACCCACUUAACACAUGGUGGGCCCAUGUGCACUAUGGGCCCCUCCAUGAUAUUUUAUAUAAUUUUAAAUUAUCAAAAAAAAUUCUAAACAUCACUUGAAUUUUAUAAUUUUGUAAAAUCAAUAGCUUCAUUUUUAUAAGUCCAAAAAAAGUAUAAAUAAAAUAUCAAAUGACUCAUAAAAAUUCAAAUAAUAAUUCUAAAAUAAUUUCAAUCAUAAAACAAACAUAAUUAAAUUAACUUGAUGGGAAAUGGAUCCAUAUGGUUAAGGAAUUUAAUUUGCAAUCAUGGGACACUCCACCUUCAUAUGUGGACUACAGACCACACUUGCUUUAUCAAAUAGGCCCAAUGUUUUUCAUGACCCACAGUCUAAGUAGAGGCUCAUUAGUGGGUCACCAAAGUCUGACGGAUGAGCCAAGGGGUUGCAAUCUCAAUCUGUGGAUUACAGACAAGUCAAGGUCACCAAGGCCUUAUGCGACCACAGCUUUAUGGCGCAUAGAGGUAUCUCUCGUACAUGCAUACGCUUCACUCUAAAAAGUAGAUUUCUGGCUUUCCUGAACGAUCUAUUGAUAUGCAUACCAUGUGAUGGUACAUGAAUGAGGUUUUGACCCCUGUCUCUGUAGGCCACCAUCACACAAGGGUCACACAGUCCCUCGGCUCACUCAUCCAGGCAUGUUCUCCGACCUCAGCAACGGCUAACCUAUAAAUCCUCAUCGGUUUAUUCUACAUGCCCAAGUAAUAUGGGUUUUUCCCAACCGACUGGCUUAGAUCGUUAAGCCAUUAUCGGUAUUAACAAACCAUCGUUUGCUUAGUAUGGUCCACGAGGGACCACACUCCCACUGAGUUCAUGUUCCACCAUAUCAUUUCACUUUAUAAGCACUCAUAAGGCCUUUAAAGACCACAUAAACCUUACAAUUUUAGGGGUCUAGGUCUCCAAAUGUUAAGGAUCGAGAUCUUAAUCUUGAUUCCAACGUUAAAGAGUAUCCAUAGUUUAAGACUAUAUUUAUAACCUUUAAAGUGGGGAUCUCUUUAUUUGUAACCAAUAAAGCAGUGCAACUAUAUUAAGAGUAUAAUUCUGUUAUUAGUUAGCUAUAAAUUAAGAAAAUUAUCAGUUUGGUUAUUAUCUUGUUCUUUACGGUUGUUAUCAAGAUCCCUAAUAGUGCGGAUCGAGAUUCCAAAACUUAAAAAUUAGUAUCCCUUGAAGGUCCCUUUCUGCAGCACCAAAGUGAAAUUUCAUAGUUGUAGCCCUAGCUAUAUUGGGAGAUCCCGACAACUAUGGUUCCAUUCUUCAUAGGGUGUCCUAUUGUCCAUAGGAUUAUAGCUUGUUUCCCUUGUAUAAUUCUACAUAGAACUUGUUUUUGGAACCUAAUGUUCAUGGUAUUUGUAGGAAAGGGCCAACAAAGUUUUGGGAUGUUUCUACAGAAGAUUAUGAUCUUGAUGACCAACUUGAAAUUGAUGUCCCAAACCUUACAUUAGAUGAUCCUGUUCUUGAACCAAUUACUUGGACAUAGGAUGGUGCGGUUUUGUUGGGUGGUAUGAUGCAUCAGUAUUUACCUAGAUGGUUUAAGUGAAGAGCAAAUGUUACUAAGUUUUGUUUAAGUUUUGAAUUUUCCAAUAUAUAAGUAUCAUGUUGAAAUAUGUCCACAACUUGUUUCUUCUUCUUCUUUUUUUCUUUGUGAAUACUUAAUUGUAGCUUUGAAUGGAUAGAACUGUCCAAGUCUUUUCGAAUUUAAGGAAUCCUUCUCUUGAGGCUGCAAGAACUUGCAAUCUCACACUUCAGUUUUUGUGUUUUGAGGCAUUGCAGCAGUUCAUAGCAUGUUGUGUACAACAUGGGUUUAGAAAAGUUGAUUAUUCCAAAAAUUCCAAAAAGGGAGGAAAAUACAAAAAUAGGGUACAACUCACAAAUCAUUGUCAAAAACAUCCAAAUCACAUCUUAAGUAUCUGUACAUUGGUUCCAUAAUUUUGAAUAAUUUUUAUAAUUGUUUUAUCUUUUUAGUUAGCCUAAGUUUUAACCAAGUACUCGGCUUGGCAUGUUCACUUGGACUCAGCCGAGUUUCUGGACAUUGGUGUUAAACAAUAUAUUUUAAAUGUACAUAAACUAUAGAAUUCAUUACAGAGCGAUUCAUUUAAAAAGAAAAAGAAAAAUUACUUGUAUACUAACCUACAUUGGCUUCUCCUUGGGAAACAAUCUACUAUGGGGUGAAGUGAACCUCUGCCAUGAAUUGCUGGAGAAAAAAUCUAAGAGGACAUGUUUGUCAUAUUUAGGGCAAAACAGAUGUGACUACAAGGCCCCCAAAAAUGGGGGAGAAGGUAGACAGUCAGUCCAACCUUAGGCAGACAAAAUGUUUUGUAUUUAAUUUUUAAAAAAAGAACGGUGAGAACUUUUAUGUUUCCCCUAACCUAUUCAAGCCAAAGUAAAAAAGGUGUGUUGUGUUAAGUAAACAGCAAACGUAAAACUUUGUCACUGUUUAUCAUGAAUUUUGAAAAUUUGUCAUCUGAUGAUGAUUUCUUUUUCUUAAAAUUGAUUCUUAGGAGUGGCAUUAUGUUGCAAGGCCCUCUUCGAUGAUAUAUAAGAAGGGAAAACAUUUAUCUUAUCUGAAACUAUUCCAACUCAAGAUUGUUUUUCAUAUAGGUAUUUUGAAAUUAAAUAAAAAUUACAUGUUAAAUUGUUCAUCUCUUAUAAAGUAUUGGGAAAUUAUACGGAUGAAGUGUUAAAUUGUUCAUCUCUUAUAAAGUAAUGUGAUUAAUUUCCCAAUAUUAGAGAAGCGAUUAGUUAAAAAUUUAGAAAGAUGGCUUACAUGAUGGCAAUCAACGUGGCAUUUGUUUUUUUUGAAGGGGUCAAUUGGGACCUAUUAACAAUGACAUUUAUUGCCCCCAAAACUUGGGGAACGCCUAUCCCGUGUUCCAGUUGGAGCAAAAUUUGAAGUUGCUCUAUUGAGCAAAAGGCCCACUCGGUAGAAUUUUUUUUAAUAUGGGAUUUUAGGAUCCAUUUUAGAAUCACUUGAUAAGUAAUUCAAAAAAUAAUCACUGAAUUAUAUUCCCAUAUUUGACCAUCUAAAAGUUGGACCAUAUGCCUUUUUUGGGGUGUGAGAUCUUUCAGGCACUUCCAAAGUGCUCAUGCAACUCUUUUAACUUUUUUUUAGGUUCCUACAUUGAGUAAGUCAGAUUCCAAAAUUUGGGGGUCCUAAAACUAUAGUUUUCAAUAAUGGACCGGAUUAUCUAGUCCAAUUAUCUGAUUGGAAAUUAGUGCCUAGGGUGUUGAGCACCCGGCCUGACCCGCUCUUUCCAACACCGCUUUGUACUGCUUUAGAAGGCUCGAAAUCUGAAACGGAUUAGGAGUGUCCCCUAGUUGGACUUGUGCACAAUAGAGGUUAAUCAAGUUGCUCAUUUAAUCAUAGUACUGAAGUUCUAAUCCAUUUAACAGCUGGGGUACCAAUGCACAUAAACCGGAUUUACUCAACAUAUUCAUCAAGUUAUCUACUAAGGUGUGUUUGAUUUUAGGAAGACAGAAUUUUGGAAGCCGCAUCUUCCUCACCUCUUCCUCAACUGCCAAAAUGGCGUCUUCCAUUUGGGGCAUGAAAGCAUUCCCUGCUGUCGGAUGCUGCAGCUUCCAAGCUAGUGUUGUACUUCCUAUCAAUAUCUAUUGGAGUGCUACAGUAUCAGGAAGUGGCCACUUCCUAAUUCACAGCUUCCUGAAAUCAAUCACGCGUUGAGAGAAAUCAACACCCUCAAUCAAUCUCGCCCUGAGAAACAUCAACACCAAAAAAAUUUUGUAGGAUGGAUACGAGUUGGGAGAUCGAUCUAAAUUUACACUUUCCUAUUAAGCAAAAAGGACCAGCCAAGAGAAAGCCUCCAAACUCCCAUUUGUGAAGGGAUUUGGGCCUUCAUGCCAAUGGUCUCAAGCAAUGACUUAAAAAAUGGAUCGGUGAUCCGGAUUGGGUUUAGUAACAAUUGGGCCAAAUCAGGAAAUCGGAGGUCCGGAUUGCUGUUUUAUUGUGCAGAAAAAAUAGUGAACUGGUGGAAAAACACGUGCAAAGACAGUGAACUGGCCAAAAAAUGGUCCGAACCAAUGAAUCGGUAUUUUUACUGUAGCAAAACGUCGUUUUACUUUAGCAAAUUGCCAAUUUUCUUAUAUACCCGGAUGAUUUCCUUUAUAUUGAUAGAAUUAGCACGUGGUGAUCAAUUCCAGGGUUGAACCGAACGAUUCCAUGCCGGCCCAACAUUUUUUAAAUCACUGGUCUCAAGCAUAAGUAAAGAAAAAAUUGGGGAAGCAUCUCAACCUUAGAAAAAGCUAUUCAAAGUUUAAGCUUUACAAAAGGAGAGGUGAAAUCUAAUACAACAUAAAUGCUAGAAAUCUAGCACAACAUAUAUGCCAAAAAGGCCUGAGCUCCUAAAUUAGAAAACGUGGAUGUUAAGAUAUCUUCUCACUCUACGUGGAUGUUUGCACUUGUGCAACCCUAUCACACAAAGUUCGCAUGGUACGAAAUUAGAGAUUAGGGAAAGGAAAUACAGAUGGACAGAUGGCAAAUGGCCAAAGUUGUUGGUUACCUAAAUUCAUUGAUUGAAUUGUCUGUUAUUAGUUCUUCCACAUAAAAAAAAUAUUUUUCUUGAAUUCUUGCUUUAUUAUAAAAUAUUUUUAGGUAGACACCUGUUUGUGUCCUUUUAUUACCACUUUUAUUAUAUACCCAGAUGAUUUCCUAUAUAUUGAUAGAAUUAGUACGUGGUGAUCAAUUUCAGGGUUGAACCGAACGAUUCCGUGCCGAUCUAACAUUUUUUAAAUCACCGGUCCCAAGCAUAAGUUAAGAAAAAAAUGGGGAAGCAUCUCAACCUUCGAAAAAGUUAUUCAAAGUUUAAGCUGUACAAAAGGAGACGUGAAAUCUAAUACAACAUAAAUGCUAGAAAUCCAACACAACAUAUAUGCCAAAAGUCCUGAGCUCCCAAAUUAGAAAACUUGGACGUUAAGAUAUCUUCUCUCUCUACUCCAUGUUUGCACUUGUGCAACCCUAUGACACAAAGUUCACAUGGCACGAAAUUAGAGAUUUGGGAAAGGAAAUACAGAUGGACAGAUGGCAAAUGGCCAAAGUUGUUGGUUACCUAAAUACAUUGAUUGAAUUGUCUCUUAUUAGUUCUUCCACAUAAAAAAAAUAUUUUUCUUGAAUUCUUGCUUUAUUAUAAAAGAUUUUUAGGUAGACACCUGUUUGUGUCCUUUUAUUACCACUUGAAAUUAAUUUUUUUGGAAUUACGAGGAGAACCCAUUCCACCAUGGUGUUUAUCUCUUUCCUUAUAUUUCCCUCUUGUUUAGCAAUAACCACACUACACCGCACACUUCUUAUCACUAGAUGAUUAUUUUUCAAGUUCAAAUUUUAAAAUUGAGUUUUCUAAUACAUAGUAUUUAUUGGGUUUAUGCAGCCCUUAAAAGCCUUGAAAGCGAUUUUAUAAACAUUUAAAUAAAUGAAUCAUAAACUCCGUGAUAGUGUGUUUCUCUUGUGGAUCAUACUAGGCAAAUGCAAUUUGUCGAUACUCGGAUUUGGCUUGACAUACUAGGACAGCCGAGUUGGAAAACCUAAAUUACUUGGGCAUAGAGAUAAAAUCAAGGAGAGUUUAGUGAGUUAGUCUUUGAUGAGGUUCGAGUACGCUCAGAUGAUAACCAAUAGACUGUGUGACUUUUGUGUGUGAUGAAUAAUUUAUAAUGACAGACUAAAAUAUCAUCGUUAUAUCAUCAUAUGGUAUGUACAUAGAAUGUAUUUAGUCGUACUGAGAUAGUAAUCCACCAUUGAGGGUGAAGCAUGUACAUGUGUGAGAGAUUACCCCUAUGCACCAUAGAGUCAUGGUUGUGUCAUGAUCUGACAGAACAUGAUUUGUCUCUAAAGGAGAACCUGAAAUCCACAUACUGAGAUUAUGUCUUCUAGCUCAUUGAUUGACUUUGGUAGUCUAAUCCUGAGCCCCUGCAGUAGAUAGUGGGUCAUGGGAAUUGCUGUGUCAAUUUGAGAAAGCUAAUGUGGAUCAUAGUCUACUGCUGAAGAUGGAGUGCUCAUAUGUAUUGAUUAAAUCCUAGACCUAUUCGGAUCUGAUUCCCAUCAAAAUUUUAAUUUUUUUUAAUUAAUUUUAUGUUAUUUUAUUUUUAGAAUGUUUAUUUGAAUUUUUUGUGAAUCUAUUGAUAUGUUAAUUUUGUCAUUUGGAUUUAUAAAUAAAAAAAAAUUCAAUUUCUAAAGUUUUUAUUUAAAAAAUCUUAAAAAUUAAAAAUAACUUUUUUGAAAAAUAUGGGGACCCUCCAUAAUUAGUGGAGACCAAUUUAAUCACAUGGGACAAUUAGGUGGGGCCCAUGAGUGGCUAUCAAAGAUUUUAGAAACACAUCGCUUGCUAGUUGGCUUUUCUUUUGUGGAGAGAAGCUUACUUGCAUUAAAUGAAUGAAAUAUGUGGUUUUAAAAAACUUGAUAAUCAAUAAAGUUUUGAUUGUGAAAUAAGGAAUGAAUAUUUACUAAUAAAAAAAGUAAAGAAAUACUUUCCUUAUUUUACUUAUUUGAUGGGACUUGGUUUAAGAAGUGGGGGAUAAGGUUCUAGCACCUACCUUAACAUCUUGAUGGUGGAUCUAGAGAAUGGAUGGCUCACAUCUCUCACCACACAGGUCUCUUUAGAUCGACGGUCAAGAUUUUCUCCUAUGAUUUUAUGGCAAACCCUAAUGCAUGAAAAAUCUAUAAAAGAACUCUCUUACCUCUCUAAAGGGCAUGCCCCACCCUAGGUUAGCUUGAUUAUCUGUCUCUUGGGUUCUACAUCAAGCUAAUUGAUUUGUGAUUUUGGGUAGCAAAGGGAUCUUCCCUUAGCUAGUAGUUUUUUCUCUCAUCUCUUUGAUUUCUAUCUCUCAUAAGGGUCAAGCCGGGGCUCGAAUUAGAUUAAAGUAUUGAUACUUUAUGUGGGUGGUUCUAGAUCGAGAUCUACAUGUAUUGAUUGGGUUAUACCGUAAAAAGGAAAAAUCUAUAGACCGAUCAAAGAUCCGGAGCACCAUCGGAAGGAGAAAACUCAACGUGGGGUGUACUAAGCUCGGUUGAGGUAAUCUCCGGUAAUUUUACUUUUUUUAAAGUUCUAUUCAUGUUAUGUUUCUUUUCCCAUAAAGCAAAGAGUCUAGGUAUUUUUUAUUAUUGUGUAAGUUUUGUUUUAGAUUGUAGCAAGUGAGAUCCUAUUUUUAUUUAUUUAUUUAUUUCAAGUGAAAUUUAAUUGUAAUUGGACAUUGUGAGUGACCUUGUUGGUGAAAUAAAAAUAAAUUUUUAAAUAUACACACCGAGCGUAAUCGCAUAGUCCAUCUUUCAGAACUCGUCCUCUAAAAAUUGGAUGAUCUCUAUUCAAUCUUGAGAAAAUAUUGUUUUUUAAUCACACAAGGAAUUUAUACUCCCUUGGGAAUAUACUGCUCACCUACUCCCGCUUGUAAAACCACUAGGAUUAAUUUAAAGAAUCCAAAUUGUGAGUAUAUAACCUCUUCAACCAUUUACUUCAAUAAAAAAUUCCUAAUUGCACCCUCUACACACUUGAAAAACAUAAUGUCUCAAGAUUGAGCAGAGACCCUCAAAUUUUUAGAGGGUGAAAUCUAAGUGUUAAAAAACUCAAAUUUUAACGUUUAAAAAAAUAAAGGAAAAUUUCAUAUAGAACCCUAUUCUUCGUAUUAUUUUAUUGUAGACUAUCCUUCUGUUUUUCUUUCAAGCGGCAUAUGGAAAGCACUAAAGAUUUUACCACACCCCAUCAUCUCUUAUUUCCCUAUUUUAUUGAUUUUUUUGGGUCAAUUUUUAUGAUAAAAAAGUCAAUAAAAAAUAGAGAUAAGAGAUAAUAGGGCAUUGUGAAAUCUUUAAGAGUUUUCUUAUGCCGUUUGAAAGAAAAACGGUAAGAUGGUCUACCAUGAAAUAAUAUAAGGAAUUAAGGCUCUAUACGAAAUUUUUCUAAAAAAUAAUCUAGUAAUAAUUAUUUGGUUCCAAAAUUUUAAAUUAAAAAAAAAAAAAAAUCUCCCAAAUAAGUAUUUUUACCGAGUAAACUUAUAUACCCCCCUUUUUUAAUUUAAGCACAUUGCAUUUAAAUAGCACAAAAGGACAACUUAAAAAAAAAAAAAAAAGGGACAAAAAAAGCGUCGCAUCGAGGGGUGCUCUCAUAAUUUUAGAAGAAAAUAACAUUUAAAUGAUAAUAAUAAUUAAAAUAAAAAAAAAGGUGUCCAUCCGUAGAAAGCUUUUAUUACAAUACGUACGGUGGCUUUGAAUCUUUAGCGUUACAACGCUAUUGUUCUUUCCACUUUUCCCAUAUUAAUUUCAAACAAAAGCUGGAAGUGUUCGAUUCCUUACCCCUNNNNNNNNNNNNNNNNNNNNCUUUAAAUCAAGACAUCAACACCCUAAAUCAAUCAUGCCCCGAGAGACAUCAAAACCAUUUUUUUUAUAAGAUGGAUACAAGCCGUGGGUUAUAUCUAAAUUUAAACUUUCCCAAUCAAAGCAUCAUCAUCAUCACCUCAACCUUUUUUUAAUUUACUCCUAUUAUGAAAGGACUUGUGCAUUAAUGCCAAUGAUCUCAAGUAUUAAAUAAAAAAGUAAAUGGGGAAACAUCUCCAGCUUAGAAAAAUCUAUUAUUGAAAGUUUAUGUGAAAAGUUAUGAAUAAGGACAGACGAAAUCUAACACACAAACAUAAAUGUUAGAAGGAAAAAGUUUAUACAAGGUUGCAACCUUAAAAUGUAGAAUUACACAUGCACCUGAAAAAUCCAUGGAAAAAAGUUGUUUUAAUAUUGAAAAACGUUUUAAUUGAUCAUCUUGACACCGAGAUGUGUGAAUAUGGAAAAAAAAAAAUGAAUUUGCGUCUCAGAAAUAGUUCAUCUUGCAACAUUUUAUUCAUUAUAGAUCUACUUGAUUUUAACCAUUUUUGAAGUUUAAAAUUUUAUAAUUAGAUAUGAAAAGAGAUUUUCAGAUACUUCUAAAAAAAUUUUAUACCAAAAAUAUAUGUUAUGAUAAAAUUGGGAGGUGCACAUUAAUUGGAUUGUUUAAGAUUGCAACGUUAUAGAAACCACACCCAUGCUACAAAGCUUGAACUCCUAAAUUAAAAAGCUUGGUAGUUAAGAUUUAUACUCUCUCUGCUCCAUGCUUGCCCAUGUGCCGCCCUCUCACAUGAAGGUAAGAAAUUAGAGAUUAGGGAAAGGAAACAAAAAUAGACACAUGGCAAAUGGCCCAAAGUUGUUGGUCACUCACAUUCAUUGAUUGAAUUGUUCUCUUAAAUAUAAGGAGACGUUUUCUAUACGGCCAGCCUGCAUAUUGUAGACGAUAAAUACAUUUUUUAAAUAGAAUUUAAUCUUAAUUUUUAGAAAAUAUAUAUUCUUUAAUAUGGAGAUCAUGAAUAUGAUAAAAAAAAAAUAGAAAUUAGAAAUCAUAAUAACAUUAAAAAAACAUUUGAACCAUCGGUUACACUUGUUUUUAGAUGGACCACCUAUUUGCAUCCAUAUUUAAGAUUGAUGUUUUAUAUCUCUAGACCAGUAGAAAUGCGGUCCAACCGCAUGAAACAAUUUUCUUAAAUCUAAUUUGGAAAAAGUCCUUCAUGAGGAGCGCAAUAACUCCCUAAUUCACCAACAUCCAUCUUAAAGAUGGAUGUCGUAAUAAAAUCACAAGGGUUAUACGAUGUAGAAAAUUUUUCAAAAAAAACUUUAAAUAUAAAAAAAAAUUAUUUUAUUUUCUUAUGUUCAUAACAAUCUUAACUUAGAUCAUGAAUCCCUAAAAUUUUAGAAUCAAAACCCAUUUCUAAGAUGGUUUAAAAGGGGGCCCGCAUAUGUAUAGUAUGAGUCUGUUGACUCAUAGAAACCCCACCAUCAACAAAAGAGUUCAUUUUCCUGUAAUGAAAUUUGGGAAAGGUUUCUAUGCUUCCCCUACAGCAUAGAAGAACUAUCAUUCUCCUACCAUCCAGCCGUCCAAUUUUGAUCAAGAGAGACCAUUUGGUCUUAGAUCUGACGUCUCAAAGUAUUUUAUUUUUAGUUUUUCUUAUACAAAAUUUAUGAAUAUGAAAUUUGAUACGCGUCAUCUUUUCAUUGGGGCGCACCUAUUAAAAAUAUUAGAAAUAAUUUUUUGAUAAAAUAUAAUAAUCAAAAUACCCCUUGAAAAUUUUAGGGGUAUUUUGGUCAUUUUAUUUUUUUAAAAAUAUUUUUUAUAUAUUUUUCUCUAGUGCGAGUUUGAUAGAGAAUCGGACGUGAAAAAUUUGGUGUUAUAAUAGUUUAUAGAAAAAAAUUAAAAAUAAAAUAGUGUUGGGACAUGAUAUUGUGAUUGGGACAAUCUUAACCCUCCAUUCAUAAUGGACGGUUGAAUAAGGGAAAGUAUAUAAGUUUUAUGUUAUAGAAACAUUGAAAGCUUCCCAUAAAAUUUACCUCACAUGUGGAGUUUUUGCCGUGUAAAUAUUGGCAAAUUUGUUCUUGUAUUUUGUAGUUUUUGCUUAUUAGCUCUUUCCCAAAAAAAAGAAAAGAAAAUUUCUUGCUUUAUUAUAUUGUGGCUUUGAAUCUUGGGAAAUGUUUGUUUGAUCCCAACGUUCAAUCUAAAUCGAGGGGCUAUGAUUGUUUACACCACAAUGUCGUGCGAAACACUAUUUUAUUUUUCAUUAUUUUUCUACACAAAUUUUGUGGAUGAAAUUUUGGGCGUCCUAUUAUAAAAGUAGGGUGAACCUAAGAAAAAUAAAAAAUAAAUAUUUUUUUAAAAAAUAAAUGACCAAAAUACCUUUACAAAUUUCAAAGGUAUUCUAAUAAUUUUACAUUGGAAAUACUUUUUAUUAUUUUUAUCAUGCGGCCCUGUCAUAUCUAUGAAUGUCCAAAUUUUAAUUCAAAUUUAUUUAUAAAUAAAAAUAAAUAAAUUAUGAGACGUCUAAUCAAGAUCUGACAGUAANNNNNNNNNNNNNNNNNNNNNNNNNNNNNNNNNNNNNNNNNNNNNNNNNNNNNNNNNNNNNNNNNNNNNNNNNNNNNNNNNNNNNNNNNNNNNNNNNNNNNNNNNNNNNNNNNNNNNNNNNNNNNNNNNNNNNNNNNNNNNNNNNNNNNNNNNNNNNNNNNNNNNNNNNNNNNNNNNNNNNNNNNNNNNNNNNNNNNNNNNNNNNNNNNNNNNNNNNNNNNNNNNNNNNNNNNNNNNNNNNNNNNNNNNNNNNNNNNNNNNNNNNNNNNNNNNNNNNNNNNNNNNNNNNNNNNNNNNNNNNNNNNNNNNNNNNNNNNNNNNNNNNNNNNNNNNNNNNNNNNNNNNNNNNNNNNNNNNNNNNNNNNNNNNNNNNNNNNNNNNNNNNNNNNNNNNNNNNNNNNNNNNNNNNNNNNNNNNNNNNNNNNNNNNNNNNNNNNNNNNNNNNNNNNNNNNNNNNNNNNNNNNNNNNNNNNNNNNNNNNNNNNNNNNNNNNNNNNNNNNNNNNNNNNNNNNNNNNNNNNNNNNNNNNNNNNNNNNNNNNNNNNNNNNNNNNNNNNNNNNNNNNNNNNNNNNNNNNNNNNNNNNNNNNNNNNNNNNNNNNNNNNNNNNNNNNNNNNNNNNNNNNNNNNNNNNNNNNNNNNNNNNNNNNNNNNNNNNNNNNNNNNNNNNNNNNNNNNNNNNNNNNNNNNNNNNNNNNNNNNNNNNNNNNNNNNNNNNNNNNNNNNNNNNNNNNNNNNNNNNNNNNNNNNNNNNNNNNNNNNNNNNNNNNNNNNNNNNNNNNNNNNNNNNNNNNNNNNNNNNNNNNNNNNNNNNNNNNNNNNNNNNNNNNNNNNNNNNNNNNNNNNNNNNNNNNNNNNNNNNNNNNNNNNNNNNNNNNNNNNNNNNNNNNNNNNNNNNNNNNNNNNNNNNNNNNNNNNNNNNNNNNNNNNNNNNNNNNNNNNNNNNNNNNNNNNNNNNNNNNNNNNNAUAUAGAUGGGGUUAUAUGUGGGGGUUACAAAGAAAGCUUUCCGUUGAACCUUCGGUGUUACAAUGUUAUUGUUCUUCCCAGUUUCCCAUCUUCAUUUCAUAAAUAAAUAAAUAAAACAAACCUGCAAGUGUCCAAUUCCUUACACCUCCCCGCAUCUGAAUUUAGUCACUAAAGGCUAAAACAACCAAAGUCUCUCUCUCUCUUACCAAUUUCACUCACAAAACCUCUCUCCUCUAUCUCUGUCUCUCUCAAAAGGUAACAUUCUCUCCAAACAAAUAGUAAAGAUAGUAAUGCGUACGAUCUCUUCUCUCCCUAGCUCUCCGAACAAAGGAAAAAGAUUAUAAGUGUGUGAAGUUCUAAACAAUCAAAUUAAGGCAAAUAUCUAAAAUUUUAUUGGAAGAGGUUGUUUUUGUAAGGUUAUUGGGAGCCCCUAGCUUGCGGAAUCAAGAAUAUUGGCUCAAUACGAAAUAAAUGAAUACAACUAUAAAUCGAGUGCAAGAAAUAAAACAAAUAUAAAAAUUACACCAUAACAAGAAACGAUUUACGUGGUUUACCCUUGGGCUACAUCUAUGGCUUCGAUAAAUAAAAAUCUAUUAUCUCAACAAAGAUUACAGUUUUUUAUUACAAGAGAUAAUAUCUAUCUCUAAAUACCACUGCAAAAAAGAUAACCUCGAGAACAACUAAGAGAUUUUCUCUCUCUAGAGUGGAAGCCUUACCAACUCAAAACUCAUGGGAAUACCACCUGACCAAUCUCCAUCUUGGAGAUCGAUUCCCAUAACUUCUAAAGGGGUGACCAUCUAAAAGGUAGGAUAUUAUGUCUUCAUUUGGUCUUUUUAUAUAUAUAUAUAUAUAUCACUUUCUCGCUUCCCAGAAAAGUUCAUUUUCAUUUUAUCAUAAUACUCUUAAUCUUUAUAAGAAAAUAUGAGUAUGGUGAUUUGGCUAUCACUAAACCCAACAUUCUCUACCUAGAUAGCAAAAUUACAAUAAGUACAUUGGCGAUCUUCAGUAGAUAGAUUUCUUGAUUUCUUCACACUUGCUUCCAUUAUGGAAUUUUCCCAAACACUUUGCCUAAUGGAAUUUUCUCAAACACUUUGCCUUUAUAUUUUUCCACCUCAAACCAUGUAUCCAUCAAACUUCACGAUUCUUCUUUUUUCCAAUACGAGCCUUAGCCCGUACACACAUUGUGCUCCGAUACCAAUUGAAGGGUUCUUAGGAACUGCUAGCUUGCAUAGCCGGGAAUCCUAAAUAUCAGGAUCACAUCCAAGAUCGUGUACAUAAUUAGCUAAAUGCGAAGUAAAUGGAUACAACUAUAAAUCGAGUGUAAGAAAUAAAGCAAACAUAAAAUACAUACUACAACAACACACAAUUUACAUGGUUCAAAUCAUAAGGCUACAUCCAUGGCUUCAGCAAGUAGAAAUUUAUUAUCUCAAUGACGAUUACAGUUUUGGUUUACAAGAGAUAAUACAUGUCUCUAACCAUCAGUAAAAGACCAUCACCGAUCUUUCUUUCUAAACUCGUUCUCCCGACCGAAAAACACUAUCGAUCAAUACUUUUUUUCCCACCGCAAUAUUACUACCGAAAAGAUAACUUCGAGAGCAACCGAUAUAUUUUCUCUCUCUAGAAGUGGAAGCUUUACCAACCAAAAACUGAUGAGAAUACCACCUGACCAAUCUCUAUCUUAAAGAUCCAUUCCUAUAACCGCCAAAGGGGUGACCUUCAAAAGAAUAUAAUAUUAUGUCUUCAUUGAGUAUCUUAUAUAGAUAUCACUUUCUUGCUUCUCAAGAAAGUCCAUUUUUAUUUAUCAUAAUACCCUUAAUCUUUAGAAGAAAAAUAUGGGUAUGGUAAUUUAGAAUAUUGUAAUGCAUUUUAGAAAUCUACUAUCUCAAUGAAUAUUAUAGUUUUUUUUAUUACAGGAGAUAAUACCUAUCUCUAAGCAUUGGUAAAAGACCAUCGCCGAUCUUUCUUUCUAAACUCGCUCGCUCGACAGAGAAACACCAUCGAUUAAUAACUUUUCCCACCGCAAUACCACUACUGAAAAGAUAACAUUGAGAACAACCGAUAGAUUUUCUCUCUCUAGAAGUGGAAGCUUUACCAACCCAAAACUCAUGGGAAUACCACUUGACCAAUCUCCAUCUUGAAGAUCUAUUCCCAUAACAUCUCCAUCUUGAAGAUCCAUUCUUAUAACCCUCAAAAGAGGGACCUUCUAAAAGAUAAGAUAUUAUGUCUUCAUUGAAUCUUUUAUAUGUGAGAAAUUGUAUGUUUGUAUAAUUGGGCCUUAAACCCCCAUGAAGAUGUAUUAUUGAGUUUAUCAAAGAUGUGAACAAGAGCCCCAAUUUAUAGGGUUACAAAUUUAUGUACUACUAAAGAAACUAACAUAUGUAAAGGAAUAUAUUGUUCCUAAACUAACAUAUUGUUCCUAAACAUCAGUGCAUGUUUCUAUAUUUUUAUACUCCCCCUCAUAGCUUAAGUUUGAACAAUUGAAGGUAGGCGUUAGUAAGAAAGCAGGAACAUAAGAAGCUUGAGCAGUUGCAAAUUAGCGAUCCUCAUAAACCUAUAUCUCGAACAGAGCAAUCUCGCAUAACAGCAAAUCAACAGGCAUUUGAAAUAGACAUGAUCGAGUAAACUUGAUCAUCACACAAGAUGAAGUAACGGAAAACUUGAUCAUCAACCAAGAUCAAUAAAUUCGAUCAUCAAACAUGAGGCACUUGACAGAGCUAACAGAAAUCAGCAGGGGAUCAACAAGCACUGUUGGACCUUAGAUUCGGAAUAGAGAACAUUAAGAUCUAAACACAGAUCAGAGAAUUGAAACACGACUCGACAGACAGAUCAUAGAGUCGAAAUACAACUCGGCAGAGAGACUGGUCAGAUAGUCGAAACACAACUCAGUAGAGAGACAAAUCAAAUAGGCGAAACACGACUCGGUAGUUGUUUUACAGAUGGUACAGAUUGGCCGUUUUCAUAUACCAUUUUCAAAUGUGGGUUUCAAAUCUAGCUCACCAAAGUUCCGACAUCAAAGGGGAGAUUGGUCGCAAAGGGACUCGAAAACCUUAUGAAUGCAAUAGUAACAGCAAAUACUGGAAGCAAAUACGGAGAAGGCUAGAGAGAGGUACAUCACUUUUGUACCAAAUAAAGUAGAAAAGGUAGAGAGAGAAAUAAGAGAUGGAACCCUUUAGUGGUACUGACAGCAUGAAUUGGAGUACUUUCAAAUACUUUGCAUCUGCAACUCCAGCCAUCUCUUGGAUGUUGAUUACCAAAACAUAUUUUCACCAACACUCCACAAAAAGAAAUGAUCCGAGAUAAGAGAAAACCCUGGUGAGAUAAGAGGGCAAAACAAAUUUGCAUGAUAUACAGGAAAAUUCAAUUAAUGAGUAUGUGAGUGUCCCGUCAAUCUCUAGUCUCUGAGCAUCGUAUCCAAAUUAAACACCAACAAAUAUUCAAAGUGAGAGAGAGAGUAAACUAGAGAGAGAAACAUAGCACGUUCUAGUGAGAGGGAAAAUUCUUCCCUGCCAUCACCCAGGCUUCGCGAUCAGAACAUGGUUGCCCCAUAUACAUCAGAUGCCGCCAUACCAGACCCACUUCUCCUCUCAAUGCGUGGCCUGCUGGGAGCUGAGCAGAGAAAGAGUUGUAUCCCCAAGGCCCGAACAUAAGGCCCAAACUGAUGAGAGAGAACUACUACAAGAAGAACGAAAUACAGAUAAGAGGAGCUGCCGAGUAGAGAACAUAAGGCCCAAAACGAUUGGAGAAGAGCCAAACUGAGAUCAGAGAAGUAUGAGAGGUGAAAUAGAGUUUUCACAUAUCACAGAGAAUACACAGAUCGUAUAAAACCUCGUUUUGAUAUCAUGUGAGAAAUUGUAUUUCUGUAUAAUUGAGUUUUUCAAAGUUUAUCAAAGAUGUAAACAAGAGCCCUAAUUUAUAAAAUUACAAAGUUGUGUAUUACUAAAAAAACGAACAUAUGAAAUGAACCACUUUUUUAAUAUGGGUACAUAUAAAAAGAAAU
rnacentral:lncRNA from 1 species